rnacentral:tRNA from 2 species
CUCUGCUUAGCUCAGUGGUAGAGCAACCGGCUGUAAACCGGUGGGUCCCUGGUUCAAUCCCAGGAGCGGAGAC